AUUAGUGAGGAGAAGGUUUUGUUUCUUGUAGCUACUUAUGUUGUUGGUAAAGAGAAGAUUUUGGUUGAGAUUGCUAGGAGAUGUAAGAGGAAAA
rnacentral:sRNA from 1 species